AGAGUUUGAUCAUGGCUCAGAACGAACGCUGGCGGCAGGCUUAACACAUGCAAGUCGAACGGUUGUAGCAAUACAGCAGUGGCAGACGGGUGAGUAACACGUGGGAACCUUCCUAGGGGUACGGAACAACUCAGGGAAACUUGAGCUAAUACCGUAUACGUCCGUGAGGAGAAAGAUUUAUCGCCCUUAGACGGGCCCGCGUCGGAUUAGCUAGUUGGUGGGGUGACGGCCUACCAAGGCGACGAUCCGUAGCUGAUCUUAGAGGAUGAUCAGCCACACUGGGACUGAGACACGGCCCAGACUCCUACGGGAGGCAGCAGUGGGGAAUCUUGGACAAUGGGCGCAAGCCUGAUCCAGCCAUGCCGCGUGAGUGAAGAAGAUCUUCGGAUUGUAAAGCUCUUUUGCCAGGGACGAUAAUGACGGUACCUGGAGAAUAAGCCCCGGCAAACUUCGUG
rnacentral:rRNA from 1 species